rnacentral:tRNA from 1 species
GGGGAUGUAGCUCAGUUGGCUAGAGUACUUGACUGGCAGUCAAGGGGUCGUCGGUUCGAGCCCGAUCUUCUCCA